AGAGCAUAGGCCUGAUAUGCUUUCCAGGUUCCUUUCUCGGGAACUGUCUACAUUGAGAACAGAUUUUUCCCUUAAGGAUUCAAUAGAUUACUAUGGGCUAGCUCUUGGUAAAUCUUCCCAGCUAAGGUAUGCAUUCCUGAUAAAACACAUAAAUAUCAUUUAUGGUGAUAAUCCGGAUGAAAUUGUUGUAAUUUGGGCUGAG